UUACGUGCCAGCAGCCGCGGUAAUACGUAGGGCGCGAGCGUUGUCCGGAUUUAUUGGGCGUAAAGAGCUCGUAGGUGGUUCGUCGCGUCUGUCGUGAAAGCCAGCAGCUUAACUGUUGGUCUGCGGUGGGUACGGGCGGGCUUGAGUGCGGUAGGGGUGACUGGAAUUCCUGGUGUAGCGGUGGAAUGCGCAGAUAUCAGGAGGAACACCGAUGGCGAAGGCAGGUCACUGGGCCGUUACUGACACUGAGGAGCGAAAGCGUGGGGAGCGAACAGGAUUAGAUACCCUGGUAGUCCACGCUGUAAACGUUGGGAACUAGGUGUGNGGAUGCUAUCCU
rnacentral:rRNA from 1 species